AUGAAGCCAGCUAUUCUCCUGAUAUGGACAUUGCUAUUCUGGGUUCCAGGUUCUACUUGGAACAUUGUGCUGACCCAGUCUCCAGCUUCCUUGGCUGUGAUUCUGGGACAAAAGGCUACCAUCUCCUGCACUGCCAGUGAGAGUGUCAAUAAAUUUGGCAUAAAUCUUAUGCAUUGGUAUCAACAGAAACCAGGACAGCUUCCCAAAAUCCUGAUCUAUAAUGAAUUCAGUCGAGCACCUGGGAUCCCUGCCAGGUUCAGUGGUGAUGAAGCUGAAUUAAACUUCACCCUCACCAUUGAUCCUGUGGAAGCUGAUGAUGUUGCAACUUAUUACUGUCAGCAUCUUAAAGAAGUUUUUAGAUUUGAAAAAUUUACUUAG